rnacentral:rRNA from 1 species
ACGGAUAGAGUCAACGUAUCUAGCUUGUAUUCAGCCUGCCGGCCGGUGGUCAGGCUUGCCAAACAAACCCGCUUCUGGUUGGUUGGCGGGUCGCUUCGAUUGCUGGCUGGUAGUGCAUUUGCAAGUGGAGUGCGCUGAGAGGUGUGGGUUAGCGAUUGGAUACGGGCUUUGAGGGCACCUCCUCGGAGGUGAAUCCCUGGCCCGGGGAAAAUUGUUUAGCCUGCAUUGCUCCGGGGCGAUGGCCUACGAGUUUUAUCGUCUGCGCGGCUAUCACUGGUAACGGUCACAUGUGACACGUGCCUGUUGUUGUCGCGUUGGCGGUGGAAUUCACUUCGCCCAUCUCGGUGUAAAAGUUGGUCAUCUAUCCGACCCGUCUUGAAACACGGACCAAGGAGUUUAGCGUAUACGCGAGUCAUUGAGUGUUGAAAACUCAAAGGCGCAAUGAAAGUGAAUUGUAAAUGAUAUGCGACCUAGAGCACUGCGGUGUCCUAGAGCAGCAUAGCCCCGUCCCGAUUGCAUGCAAUGGGGCGGAGGUAGAGCGUAUUCGCUGAGACCCGAAAGAUGGUGAACUAUUCCUGAGCAGGAUGAAGCCAGAGGAAACUCUGGUG